rnacentral:rRNA from 1 species
AGAAUCAACGCUGGCGGCGUGCCUAACACAUGCAAGUCGAGCGCGAAAGGGGAGCAAUCCCCAAGUAGAGCGGCGAACGGGUGAGUAACGCGUGGGUAAUCUACCUCCGAGUGGGGAACAACAGCGGGAAACUGCUGCUAAUACCGCAUGACAUCGUCGAGCCUUCGGGUUUGACGAUCAAAGCCGGGGACCGCAAGGCCUGGCGCUUGGAGACGAGCCCGCGUCCGAUUAGCUAGUUGGCGGGGUAAUGGCCCACCAAGGCUCCGAUCGGUA